GACAGAGGGUGCAAACGUUGCUCGGAAUCACUGGGCGUAAAGGGCGUGUAGGCGGGGAGGUAAGUCAGAUGUGAAAUCCCCAGGCUCAACCUGGGAACUGCAUUUGAAACUCCCUUUCUUGAGUACCGGAGAGGAAAGUGGAAUUCCUGGUGUAGAGGUGAAAUUCGUAGAUAUCAGGAGGAACACCAGUGGCGAAGGCGGCUUUCUGGACGGUAACUGACGCUGAGACGCGAAAGCGUGGGGAGCAAACAGG
rnacentral:rRNA from 1 species